rnacentral:rRNA from 1 species
ACUCCUACGGGAGGCAGCAGUAGGGAAUCUUCCGCAAUGGACGAAAGUCUGACGGAGCAACGCCGCGUGAGUGAUGAAGGUUUUCGGAUCGUAAAACUCUGUUGUUAGGGAAGAACAAGUACCGGAGUAACUGCCGGUACCUUGACGGUACCUAACCAGAAAGCCACGGCUAACUACGUGCCAGCAGCCGCGGUAAUACGUAGGUGGCAAGCGUUGUCCGGAAUUAUUGGGCGUAAAGCGCGCGCAGGUGGUUUCUUAAGUCUGAUGUGAAAGCCCCGGCUCAACCGGGAGGGUCAUUGGAAACUGGGAGACUUGAGUGCAGAAGAGGAAAGUGGAAUUCCAAGUGUAGCGGUGAAAUGCGUAGAGAUUUGGAGGAACACCAGUGGCGAAGGCGACUUUCUGGUCUGUAACUGACACUGAGGCGCGAAAGCGUGGGGAGCGAACAGGAUUAGAUACCCUGGUAGCUA